GUUGUUUAAUGUGUACUAUGCUAUGGAUUAUUGGGGGCAAGGAACCCAAGUCGUUGUGACAACAGCUUCAGAACAAGCCCCGUCCCUAUUUCCACUCAUUUCUUGCGGCGAGUCUAAGGAUCCUGUCAUCAUUGGUUGUUUGGCCAAAGAUUUCUUCCCUGAAUCUAUUAGCUUCAACUGGAAAGAUGAAUCCAAUAGCAGCAUUAAUUCUGGCUUCAAGAACUUUAGGCCGGUGUCAAGGACAGUGUCCGGAGAUCAAAGCUAUACAUCUGCAAGUUCCCAAUUGCAAGUGACAAGUGACAGCUGGAAUCAAAAUAAACCAUUCUACUGCGAGGCCACACAUAAAAGCAAUACCAAGAGCGUCAAAAUUCAAAAAAGAGAGACAGUCGUCAAAGCUCCAAUUGUGUCCAUUAACCCGCCACUUCAAGAGAGCACAACUGUAAAUGGAGAUGUCAUUGUUGUGUGUGUUAUUAAUGGAUUCAGUCCAAAUCUUAUUGAAGUGAGAUGGCUUAAAAAUCAUAACAACUCAAUUGAAAGUACAAUUGGAGAGCCAGUAGCAGAUACAAAUGGCAGCUUUAGAGCAACUACCUUUAUAUCUGUUCCUCAAAGUGAAUGGGACAGGAACAAUAUAUUCUCUUGUGAAGUGAAGCACCCAGCAUCCAAUUUUUAUGAAAUGAAGAAUACCAGUAAAUCUGAAGUGUGCACAACUCAAUCUUCUGCAGUUCAAGUGGUUGCGAUUCCACCAUCGUUUGAGAGUAUCUUCAAUGAUAAAAAGGUCAAACUCACCUGCAGAGUGUCUAACAUGCCUUCUCUUGAUGGCCUGAUUAGUAUCAAAUGGUUUCAGAAGGGGAAUCAAGAUAAGCCCCUGGACACAAAACAAGAAGAUGGAGGUUAUGCAGAGGGAUACAUAGUCAAUGGUGUUGCUGAGGUCUGUGCUGAUGAAUGGAAUACAGAGAAGUUUGAGUGCAAAGUGAAGCAUAUUGAUCUGGCUGAACUCAAGGUGGUCCCUCUUUAUAAGACAAAUGGAGGUGAUUUGAUGACUCCUGAGAUGUUUGUUUAUCCUCCACAACAAGAUGAGUUGUCCCAGAAAGAAACUGCCACAGUGACCUGCCUUGUAAAAGGGUUCAAUCCCAAGGAUGCAUUUGUCAAGUGGACAUACAUGGAAGAUCCUCUUGACUCACAUAUGUAUAUCAACACCGAAGCUAUUAAAGAAACCUCAUCCACUGGAAAAACAACACACUUCAUUUACAGCAAAUUAACUUUACCUGCUAAGGAUUGGACCGAUGGGAAAAGUUACACCUGUGUAGUUGGCCAUGAAUCGCUGCCACUACAGCUAAUCCAAAAAACUAUUGACAAGUACACUGGUAAACCAACCUCAGUGAAUGUGUCCCUCGUCAUGUCUGAUACAUGUUGAUAAUCCUCCCAAGAAGACCUUUUAUCUCCACCUUUUGUUCUACCCUAAGUGAUGGUACUGAAGGAGGAGAAGGAAUAAAUUGUGUUUGUCUGUCUGUUCUUGUAUAUUAACUUCAAUGAACCCUGUCUGCAUAUUGAAAAGUAGAAAUAAAAAUCACUUUAUAAAA